UACGAAGGGGGCUAGCGUUGCUCGGAAUCACUGGGCGUAAAGGGUGCGUAGGCGGGUCUUUAAGUCAGAGGUGAAAUCCUGGAGCUCAACUCCAGAACUGCCUUUGAUACUGAAGAUCUUGAGUUCGGGAGAGGUGAGUGGAACUGCGAGUGUAGAGGUGAAAUUCGUAGAUAUUCGCAAGAACACCAGUGGCGAAGGCGGCUCACUGGCCCGAUACUGACGCUGAGGCACGAAAGCGUGGGGAGCAAACAGGGA
rnacentral:rRNA from 1 species